UACGAAGGGGACUAGCGUUGUUCGGAAUUACUGGGCGUAAAGCGCACGUAGGCGGAUUUGUAAGUCAGGGGUGAAAUCCCGGGGCUCAACCUCGGAACUGCCUUUGAUACUGCAAAUCUCGAGUCCGAUAGAGGUGGGUGGAAUUCCUAGUGUAGAGGUGAAAUUCGUAGAUAUUAGGAAGAACACCGGUGGCGAAGGCGGCCCCACUGGAUCGGUACUGACGCUGAGGUGCGAAAGCGUGGGGGAGCAAACAGG
rnacentral:rRNA from 1 species